UUUCUUUUCUUUUUGUUGUUUUUUUUUGGGGGGGGGGGGGGUCAUAUUUAUCAAAUACUGUAAGAAAAAAAGUAAGUUAAAGAAAAACAAAAUUAUUAAUUAUAGUAAACUAAUUCGUCAGUAGAAAUAAGCUGUCUUUCAAUUUUUUACGUAAUUCCAUAUAGUUUUUUUUUCCUGAGCAUAAAUUAACGUCGGGUACGAUGAACAUGGUAGUUUUGGAAGUAGCGCGCGUCGAAUUAUGGGAAAAAGGGGUACCAGAUUCCCGGAAGUUGACAUCAUUUCCUGGUUAAACAAGAGGGGAGAGGAGUACUAAAUGGGUAGAGGUAUCACACCGGUAAUUAACCAAUCAAAAUGAACUUAGUCAAAUAUAAAGGUUUUCGACAGGAACUAUUUUUUUCCCGGGAAUAGGAGGCUACUUCCUGCGGUACACUCGGAAUGUUUAUAGACACAUUGAAAACACGUGGAUUUGAGGGUAGCCCUGUUUACAGAUAGAAAAAGUCAGAAAAUGCCGUGUAGGUACCGUUUUGUGUGUGAGAGUGUGUCAGCUAGUGUGACAGGUAAUGUUUAACACCUCCUGCUAGAUAUUUUUUCAAGUAAACAACUACCAAUUUUUUUUUUAAAGACUUUUUAUUCUAUAUGGAAAUUUACAGUCAAAACAAUUACCCGUGUGACGCAACCUGAUUGGCUAUGUUAAUAUUUUCAUUUUAAUGUAAAAAUAUCACUGAUAGAAAUAAAUGGUGGAAUAUAUCAAGUUUAUUUUCUUUAACUAAGAAAGCUGAAAACCUAUGAUCCCCCCCCC